rnacentral:tRNA from 2 species
GGGCCUGUAGCUCAGCUGGUUAGAGCAGUGGACUCAUAAUCCAUUGGUCGUAGGUUCAAGUCCUACCGGGCCCACCA